rnacentral:sRNA from 1 species
GCCGGGCGCGGUGGCUCACGCCUGUAAUCCUAGCACUCUGGGAGGCCGAGGCGGGCGGAUCGCUCGAGGUCAGGAGUUCGAGACCAACCUGAGCAAGAGCGAGACCCCGUCUCUACUAAAAAUAGAAACAAAUUAGCUGGCCAACUAAAAUAUAUAUAGAAAAAAUUAGCCGGGCACGGUGGCGCAUGCCUGUAGUCCCAGCUACUCGGGAGGCUGAGGCAGGCGGAUCGCUCGAGGUCAGGAGUUCGAGACCAGCCUGAGCAAGAGCGAGACCCCGUCUCU